GGGGGUCGCGGUGGUUGUCGCCUACUUCUUUCAACUCCUACACUGCCCACGACGUGCAGUUGGUUCAAGGAGGCAACAACAACCAAACUCCCUGUAGGUACUCUGCCAAGGUAUGGAUAAUGCCUGUUUGCCACACACACAUGCGAGUUAACUAGACACAUAUGAAAUUAUCUUCAGCUAUUGUAUUUCAAGAUCAUUUUGCCUUCCUAUUUGUUUAGUACGAGCUUUUGAUGUCUCUGAUUGCUCUAAUGGUUUCUGUAAAUAGAUAUUACUCUUAUAUGUCAAAACUGUCUUGAAGACGUAGAAAUAGAUGAUGUGCUACUACAUUUACAAAUUUUGCAUGUGGUUGGUCGACAAUUCUAUUAGUUGAGAAUGACUCUACAAUAAUGUGGCUAACUGGUUGCAAGUUAAUUUGUUUCUUUUCACCCAAAAUUAUAAUCUUUACAAACAAUCCAGUUAUGUUUUGCCUCUGUAUGUUCCACUAUUUUAGAGUGACAUUUCCUUUUUUCGUGGGUAUUUAUUUUGGCAUCUCAUAUUUCUGAUAGCUCUAGAACUGAAUAGUGUUUGUGUUUUUCUGAAACUGAAGCCGUUUGUUUUCUCCGGCUUCCAAGGAUGGUUGCUAUGUAAUACAAGUGCAACUUUAUGAAAUCACGAUCCACUAAUGACUUACAAACCAAUUAUUUUGUAUCUAAGUAAGCCAUAAUUUCAUAUAUUUACUUGCUUCUUGCAUGGUUAAAAGGGCAAGCUUGGCAGCUGAGAACAAAUGUGCAUGUGAAUUCUUUGCCUGUUAGAGGUUGCUAACCAUUUUCUGCCAGCUUUAUCUAUCAUUUAACAAUAUCCUCAUCAAGAUGCCAUGCAGUAUAUUUAAUUGUUCAGAGCUUAUGUCAUGCCUCGGUACCUGAUGAAUACUACCACACUCGACAAACAGUUAUCCAAGGGACUAGAGCUAGAGGCCUUUGGGAGUUACAUUUAGAAUGGGAGGCGGGGUUUAUUUAAUCCUUUUUCAUUUCCUUUUACCACUGCUAUGUUCUGUCUGGUUUAACUAAUGAGUGUAACACCUAUACAAGCUAGAAGACGUGUGUGAGUCAUUCAUUUAUUUUUGAACUGAGAAUAUUCAUGUAACUAUCUACAUGUAUAUGCAAUGUUCAUAUGCGAGUUUACAUCCAGGCCUUCCUUUUCACUAAUGUUCACUAAAUGUGAUUUAGGCAUGAUUGUUUCGAGGCAA